CGGCAAUGGAGGAAACUCUGACCGAGCAACGCCGCGUGAACGAUGAAGUACCUCGGUAUGUAAAGUUCUUUUAUUAAGGAAGAAAAAAGAGUGGAAAAACUCCCUUGACGGUACUUAAUGAAUAAGCCCCGGCUAAUUAUGUGCCAGCAGCCGCGGUAAUACAUAAGGGGCGAGCGUUAUCCGGAAUUAUUGGGCGUAAAGGGUGCGUAGGCGGUUUAAUAAGUCUAUAGUUUAAUUUCAGUGCUUAACGCUGUUGUGCUAUAGAAACUGUUUUACUAGAGUGAGAUAGAGGCAAGCGGAAUUCCAUGUGUAGCGGUAAAAUGCGUAAAUAUAUGGAGGAACACCAGAGGCGUAGGCGGCUUGCUGGGUCUUUACUGACGCUGAGGCACGAAAGCGUGGGGAGCAAACAGGAUUAGAUACCCUGGUAGUCCACGCCGUAAACGAUGAGUACUAAGUGUCGGGUAAAACCGGUACUGAAGUUAACACAUUAAGUACUCCGCCUGAGUAGUACGUACGCAAGUAUGAAACUUAAAGGAAUUGACGGGACUCCGCACAAGCGGUGGAUCAUGUUGUUUAAUUCGAAGAUACACGAAAAACCUUACCAGGUCUUGACAUUUUCUUGCGAAGUUAUAGAAAUAUAAUGGAGGUUAUCAGGAAAACAGGUGGUGCAUGGUUGUCGUCAGCUCGUGUCGUGAGAUGUUAGGUUAAGUCCUAAAACGAGCGCAACCCUUGUCGUUAAUUGCCAGCAUGUAAUGAUGGGGACUUUAACGAGACUGCCAAUGAAAAAUUGGAGGAAGGUGGGGAUUACGUCAAAUCAUCAUGCCCCUUAUGAUCUGGGCUACAAACGUGAUACAAUGGUUGUUACAAAAGAUAGCUGAA
rnacentral:rRNA from 1 species